rnacentral:miRNA from 1 species
UGUCUUGUUCUUUGAGAUUUCUACUACAUUUUGUCAAAAGAAUAACAACCUGGCCUGUAAUUCCAGCUACUUGGGAGGCUGAGGCAGGAGGAU